rnacentral:lncRNA from 1 species
AUUGCAUUUGGACCAUCUUGAUCAGCCCAAAAAUCAUAGAUCAAGUCCUUUUAUCGAUCAAAAACAAUUCUGGCCAUUGGAUUAAUCACUGAAUUUGAUUUCAACCAUUAAUCAACACAUUUUAUCUCCUUAACACAAUCAAAAAUGUUCUCAACUAUUGGAUCAGACUCUAGAUUGAUUCUGGAUCAUUGGAUCGCACCC